AACGAACGCUGGCGGCAUGCCUAACACAUGCAAGUCGAACGAGAUCUUCGGGUCUAGUGGCGCACGGGUGCGUAACGCGUGGGAAUCUGCCCUUUGGUUCGGAAUAACAGUUGGAAACGACUGCUAAUACCGGAUGAUGACGAAAGUCCAAAUAUUUAUCGCCAGAGGAUGAGCCCGCGUAGGAUUAGCUAGUUGGUGUGGUAAAGGCGCACCAAGGCGACGAUCCUUAGCUGGUCUGAGAGGAUGAUCAGCCACACUGGGACUGAGACACGGCCCAGACUCCUACGGGAGGCAGCAGUGGGGAAUAUUGGACAAUGGGCGAAAGCCUGAUCCAGCAAUGCCGCGUGAGUGAUGAAGGCCUUAGGGUUGUAAGGCUCUUUUACCCGGGAUGAUAAGGACAGUACCGGGAGAAUAAGCUCCGGCUAACUCCGUGCCAGCCGCCGCAGUAA
rnacentral:rRNA from 1 species